rnacentral:misc_RNA from 1 species
GAUGAAGAACGCAGCGAAAUGCGAUAACUAAUGUGAAUUGCAGAAUUCAGUGAAUCAUCGAGUCUUUGAACGCACAUUGCGCCCCCUGGUAUUCCGGGGGGCAUGCCUGUCCGAGCGUCUUUGCUGCCCUCAAGCACGGCUUGUGUGUUGGGCUCCGUCCCCCCGGGGACGGGCCCGAAAGGCAGCGGCGGCACCGAGUCCGGUCCUCGAGCGUAUGGGGCUUUGUCACCCGCUCUGUAGGCCCGGCCGGCGCCAGCCGACAACCCAUCAUCCUUUUCAGGUUGACCUCGGAUCAGGUAGGGAUACCCGCUGAACUUAAGCAUAUCAAUAAGCGGAGGA